AUUGAACGCUGGCGGCAUGCCUUACACAUGCAAGUCGAACGGUAACGAGCCUUCGGGUGCCGACGAGUGGCGAACGGGUGAGUAAUACAUCGGAACGUGCCCGAUCGUGGGGGAUAACGAGGCGAAAGCUUUGCUAAUACCGCAUACGAUCUACGGAUGAAAGCAGGGGACCGCAAGGCCUUGCGCGGACUGAGCGGCCGAUGGCAGAUUAGGUAGUUGGUGGGAUAAAAGCUUACCAAGCCGACGAUCUGUAGCUGGUCUGAGAGGAUGAUCAGCCACACUGGGACUGAGACACGGCCCAGACUCCUACGGGAGGCAGCAGUGGGGAAUUUUGGACAAUGGGCGCAAGCCUGAUCCAGCCAUGCCGCGUGCAGGAUGAAGGCCUUCGGGUUGUAAACUGCUUUUGUACGGAACGAAAAGCCUUCUUUUAAUACAGGAGGGUCAUGACGGUACCGUAAGAAUAAGCACCGGCUAACUACGUG
rnacentral:rRNA from 1 species